UACGUAGGGGGCAAGCGUUGUCCGGAUUUAUUGGGCGUAAAGCGCACGCAGGCGGUCCUGCCAGUUUCGAGUGACAGGUGGUGGCUUAACUACCACAGGCCUCGGAAAACUGCAGGACUUGAGGGCAAAAGAGGGAUGCGGAAUUCCAGGUGGAGCGGUGAAAUGCUUAGAUAUGACAUAGAACACCAAUUGCGAAGGCAGCUUACUACGGGGUCAUUGACACUGAGGCACGAAAGCGUGGGGAUCAAACAGG
rnacentral:rRNA from 1 species